rnacentral:misc_RNA from 1 species
GGCAUGCCCGUGGAUGUAACCCUAAGUUGAGAGGAUGAACCACGUAAAUAUUGGUAUUUUGUAUGUUUAAUUUAUUUUUUUUGCAGUUUACACACUUCCGCAGUGCAAAAUAAGAAGCUUGAAUUAUCCAAUUGGAAUUGGACUUGGUAAGCAUGCAUGAGAAGUAUAAGAGGAGAAUUUAUUCUCUUCUUUCCUUCAGUGCUGUAGUUUGAUGCCACAUAUUAAAGUUUUGUGCAAACAGUGAGAAUUUUAUACGUGCGGCAGUUGUGAGGUUAAAUUGGUGUUGUGAGUUAGAAACAUAAGUGAUUAGGAGUCUGUGAGUGAGUGUUUGAGAAAAAUAAUUAGUAUCCGAAUUACUUCAAAUUUGUGUUCUUUGAUUUGUAGGAUGCAUAACAGUUUGGUUUAUGAAGCGUGUUUCUUCCUGUUUUAUUGCUCAAAUUAUUGUAUAUGGUGGUUUGUUUAAAUUAAAGCUUCUGUUGCGCUGUGUGAGGAACCAUAAAAUUCUUACUAAUGGGAAUCACGUUGGGUAAUGCAGAUAUGUAUUAGAAGUGUUGAUGAUGUAGAGGAUCAACAAUGCUUUCAGAAACAGAUCUUCUCAAAUGAGUUUUAAAAGUAAGGCAUUGGAUGUUGAAUGUGCUUCUCCUAACGUUUUAAUUGAGCAUAGAAAGAGGACAACAUUGGCUCUUCGAGAUUUUCCAAUAGGAUGUGGUCCCUCUAAAAGAUUUUCCUCUGAAGUGUUUAAAAAAUCAGUUCACUCUGGGGUACCGGACACAGCAAAUGAUUCAAUGUCUAAAGACAUGUUAAUUGUUCCAAUUGAUAACAGUGAAGAGUUUGGAUGAUAUCAAAAACUGCUACGAAAAUUUUUGCAAGAUUCUUUAGAUAAUGCAAGAUUGGUCAACCCAUUACAAAUUUCAGUUUCCGAAGCCACUAAAUUGCCAAAUGAACUGCGCCUUGCAAAAGGAUUUCAGCCAUUGGAGAGUUCCCCAAGGGCUUUAGGAGAAAGACUCAACAAGUUGAUAAAAGAGGUUGCCCCAGAAUCUAAUGCUUUAGAAAUCAAUGGAUUAGAUAACAAUACAGCUGAUGUUGAAAACAUAUUGUUAAGGAAGAAAGGAGAGGCAAUUAGGAAGGAUGGACAUCGAAUGAAUGUCUCAAGUACUAGUGAAAGUAGUAUGUUUCAACAUAUUCUGAAUGCUUGGAGAUUAAGAAGGGGAUACUGCAUGAGAAUAAUAUGGACAAAUGCCUUGAUGGAAAAUUAUCAGGCCAUAGCAGCACUCAUCCAUUGCAGGAAAUAGGCUCUACUCAUUUGGGGUUUCCUGGACAUCAGGUGAUAAUGCAGGCAUUGAUGGCUGCAUCAAAUUUUCCAUGGAGAAAUGGGAAAAGGUGGUCCAGAUCGAAACUAACUAGUCGUGUGGCCAAAAGUAAACCCAAGAAGCUUUAAUCUAGGACGAGAUGAAUUUUAUAUGGUACAGUGAAAAGGAAGGUCAUAUUGAAGGAUUUACUUAUCUACAGUUGCUACAACUACAUUAAGAAACUACUAUUUUGCUGUGGAAAUUUGUGGCCAGACCAUCACAAAGUUACUCUGCUACUAAAUUAUGGACUCUUACAAGUUUACCUGUAAAAUUUGCCUUGUAUGCAACUGCUUUCUCCAGGUAUGCACCGUUAAAUGUUGAACCGCUAAAAUCAGAUUCUCUCAUAUCAGCAGCUGUGAAAUUUGCUCUUCUGAAAUUUUCAUUCACAUGCACUGCUUUCCUCAGAUCUGCAGAACCAAAUUGAGCUGCAGAUCCUAUACCAAAUUCACCACGAAUCUCAGCUUCAUACUUGUUAAGAUCAGCAACAGCAGGCAAACCUGAGCCAAAGCUAACAACUGCAGCUGCCAAUGCAAUUGAAACUAGUGUUCUCCAGUUGUUGGAUUUAGAACUAUCGACCUUGUACCUAGUUGUGGAGCAAUCAAGAAAUUGGUCUCCUCUUUGUGUAUGUAAUUGAGAAACUAUGUGAAAAGGCUUAGAGUGUGGGAUCUGAUGGCAUGGAGAUUUUGAGGAUGAGGUGGAGAUGUUGAGGGAUUUAAUGGACAAUGGAGAGAUAUAAGCGAAUGCCAUCGCCAAAGUUUCUUAUCAUGCAGGAGAAGAAUAUGCCAAAAGAGGGGGAACGAAGAAUAGCUAGGCACAGAAAUGGAUAGCGUGAAGUUUAACUUUGUCGCUCACCACUGCAUCUUCA